CCUCAGAGAUUAAAUCAAUAUUGCUGUUCAAGUUGCACAGGCCAGGCCUUUUGUUAUGUUUAUCAUUUGUGCAAAGGUCAUCCUUUUAGAUAUAGAAUGAAUCCUUGGUUGGAAGAAAAUAACUAAAAAUAGCGACGCUACUACAUUUAGCCUAAUAGUGUUUUUUUUCCAGUAAGCUUAAUGCGAGAAGAGGUAUAAUGUUCUCUUAAAUGUAGCCUGCAACGUCUGAAUCAAUAUAGUGAAUUACUUCCUGUUCCUUUGAAGGAUGCAGACUCUGAAUUAGGACACAGCUCUAGUGUUCCAACGCCAGAUACUUUCUUCUUGAUCAGUUCGUCCUAAUGAACACAAAAGAAGAUACUUCAAGGAACGCUGGGAUCUAAACAACAUUGGACCCCAUUGACUUUCAUAGUAUGGAGGAAAGAAAAAACAACAACACUGACACAUUUUUCAAAAUAUCAUCCAUUGUGUUCCACAGAAGAAUGACUGCCAAACAAGAUUGGAUAAACUAUCCCUUUAAGGUGUCAUGCAUGUAACAAGUCUUUCUUUACCUGAAACGGUCUAAUAGGUAGAGCAUCACCGCCACAACAUGGACCGAUAGACCCACCAGUAACCACAGAGUGCUCUGAAAAGGCUGCAUGAACGAGUCCAGUGUACUGCGUGGUAUUUCCUGCAAAACAACACAGCUUUAUCCAAUCCAACAAACACCACCCACAUUGCCACAUGCAUCGCCAUAUGGAGCAUCAAAUGGAGUCUACAUCUACGCUGGUUAGAGGUACAUGAAUAGAUUUCACUGUACUACAGAGUCAAUUGAUUUAUCACAGCAUUUUCUCUGUACAGAGAUAAGCCCACUUCAGGGAAUUCAAUUAAAUCAAGAAACUGUAAUGCUAUUUCCGUCCCAGAAAGUCAUGUUCUCAGAGGAUUUUUCCAAAAAUUAAUUACAUUUUAUAUCCUUUAUUUGAAAUUUAGCAGUCAUGAAACUGAAAUUAAACUGACCCUAGAUAGCCCACAGGAAAUAAUGCCGUUUUAAACGGAUAGUUCACCCAAAAUGUACCACUUUUAUGUUGUUCUAAAGCUCUUGAACUUUUUUCAUAAGUGGAACAGAAUACAGAAAAUAUUUUGGGUGAACUAUCACUUUGAAGAAUGUACUGUUGAUCUGUUGGUCAUCUGAGACUCACCUUUUUGACAAGUAUUGUGAGCCCCUGGUACUUGAACGGUUUCGAGAACUCUAUGUACUGGGCUCGUUCAUUGUUGAUAGUAAGUGGAGCCACGAUCAUGUCUGCCAAGCCACUCAGGAGCUCUCCCAUCAUGCCAUUCCACUCCUUCUUGUUGCUGUUAUUUACCUGGUAUCAGGAAGAUAACGUUAAGAAAUGUCAUGCUUAAAUGCGCUUCUAAAUUUCGAAAUGCAUAUUUCAGCAGAUGCUGAAGAAAGGCUUGAAAAUGUGCAGACAAGCCAAGUUGCAUGACCUUUGAAAAGACAUGCAAGGCUACAGGCAGGUGAAGAAUCAAUAAAGUUAUCAUAUUACUCACACGCUCCUGAGUGCCAAAUUUGCCAUCAGCCACUAGAUGCACUUCAUAGGUAAAGUUCAUUGUCAUUG